rnacentral:rRNA from 1 species
UACGUAGGGUCCGAGCGUUGUCCGGAAUUAUUGGGCGUAAAGAGCUCGUAGGCGGUCCGUUAAGUCGGAAGUGAAAUCUCAAGGCUCAACCUUGAAAUCGCUUUCGAUACUGGCGGACUUGAGGCAGGUAGGGGAAGGUGGAAUUCCUGGUGUAGCGGUGAAAUGCGCAGAUAUCAGGAGGAACACCGGUGGCGAAGGCGGCCUUCUGGGACUGUUCUGACGCUGAGGAGCGAAAGCGUGGGGAGCAAACAGG